rnacentral:rRNA from 1 species
GAGCUCGUAGGUGGUUUGUCGCGUCGUCUGUGAAAUUCCGGGGCUUAACUCCGGGCGUGCAGGCGAUACGGGCAUAACUUGAGUGCUGUAGGGGAGACUGGAAUUCCUGGUGUAGCGGUGAAAUGCGCAGAUAUCAGGAGGAACACCAAUGGCGAAGGCAGGUCUCUGGGCAGUAACUGACGCUGAGGAGCGAAAGCAUGGGUAGCGAACAGGAUUAGAUACCCUGGUAGUCCAUGCCGUAAACGGUGGGCGCUAGGUGUGGGGGUCUUCCACGACUUCUGUGCCGUAGCUAACGCAUUAAGCGCCCCGCCUGGGGAGUACGGCCGCAAGGCUAAAACUCAAAGGAAUUGACGGGGGCCCGCACAAGCGGCGGAGCAUGUGGAUUAAUUCGAUGCAACGCGAAGAACCUUACCUGGGCUUGACAUAUGCCGGAUCGGCGCAGAGAUGCGUUUUCCCUUGUGGUCGGUAUACAGGUGGUGCAUGGUUGUCGUCAGCUCGUGUCGUGAGAUGUUGGGUUAAGUCCCGCAACGAGCGCAACCCUUGUCUUGUGUUGCCAGCACGUUAUGGUGGGGACUCGCGAGAGACUGCCGGGGUUAACUCGGAGGAAGGUGGGGAUGACGUCAAAUCAUCAUGCCCCUUAUGUCCAGGGCUUCACACAUGCUACAAUGGUCGGUACAGUGGGUUGCUACACCGUGAGGUGGUGCUAAUCCCUUAAAGCCGGUCUCAGUUCGGAUUGGAGUCUGCAACUCGACUCCAUGAAGUCGGAGUCGCUAGUAAUCGCAGAUCAGCAACGCUGCGGUGAAUACGUUCCCGGGCCUUGUACACACCGCCCGUCACGUCAUGAAAGUUGGUAACACCCGAAGCCAGUGGCCCAAACUCGUUAGGGAGCUGUCGAAGGUGGGAUCGGCGAUUGGGACGAAGUCGUA